CAGCCGCCACGGGAAUACGUAGGGUGCGAGCGUUAAUCGGAAUUACUGGGCGUAAAGCGUGCGCAGGCGGUUGUGUAAGACAGGUGUGAAAUCCCCGGGCUUAACCUGGGAACUGCGCUUGUGACUGCACAGCUAGAGUAUGGCAGAGGGGGGUGGAAUUCCACGUGUAGCAGUGAAAUGCGUAGAGAUGUGGAGGAACACCGAUGGCGAAGGCAGCCCCCUGGGCCAAUACUGACGCUCAUGUACGAAAGCGUGGGGAGCAAACAGGAUUAGAUACCCCCGUAGUCCCUGUCUCUUAUAC
rnacentral:rRNA from 1 species